UUUGGUUAGAAUUUCAACAUAAAUCCUAAUUUGGGCUAUUUUUCCAAAUUUCUCAGUUUUCCCCUCCUUCAAACCCUUAGGGUGCGUUUGUUGCAUUGGACUAACUCGGACUGGACUAACUUCAAGGACUAAGCUGGACUGGCUUGGCUUGGACUAACCAGGAUAAAAAUAGUUAAGUGUUUGGUGCAGUCCCGGACUAGAUCUCGGACUAACAUAUUUUAGAUUCAAUAUUGAUGUCUUUUUCCAUUUUUCAAUGGAACUAAACUUUGAUAAUCUGCAUCUAUCUAUCCAAUUACUUGUCGUCUUCCUCAACACCUACCAUUUCUCUCCCUUUUUACAGAAAAACACCAGCCACGCGGCCUCCGAGACAGGAAUAUCUAAUUCUGGUUCCCUUUUGCUGAUUGGGAACGAUGUACAAUAGAAAGAACAGAGGAGGGGAAACUUGAAAUUUGGGUGGAGAUGAUGAGGGACGGAGAUGCGUGGCCAUUUGAUUUCUAGGAGACCCUUUUUGUGAUCAGCGGUGAGAUGGCGAUGCUCGGAGGGAACUGUUCUGAUCAAACCACUGUCAUCUUCCCAGGCUCCAGAUCCGACCGACCUAGACUCUUCUCCGAGCGGGAGUCUGGCGAUUUGAGACCCGUUGGGGGAGUUGGCGUGUUGGGUCGAUGAUCCAAAGCGAAGCAGAGAGUCUGCGAAGUGAUGCAGACGAGCGAAGCGGAGGAACAAAGCAGGUCUUAGCUAGUCCCAUGGUUGUCGAGGACUCUCGCUAAGAACCUACAGUGAAGGCUUUAGUCCGUGCGAAUCCCACUUAAUCUCAUUAACGUGAGUCCGCGUGAUACCAAACACUGGACUGGACUAAGAGUUAGUCCAGUCUAGUCCACUUAGUCCAGUCUAGUCCAAUGAAACUUAGUGAAGGCAAACAAACGGGGCCUUAACCCUCUGCAAUCCCUUCCUUUCCCUCGAGUCCCUUCCAAUUUUUCACACAAUGAAACGCUCAGCUGAGGCCGUUCCCAUCGCCGCCUCCUCCGCCACCGCCUCCUCCUCGCUGCCGCCCAAGAAACCCGUUU
rnacentral:lncRNA from 1 species